UAGUUUGAUCCUGGCUCAGGAUCAAGUCGUAACAAGGUAACCGUAAGCCGUAACGAGGUAGCCGUAAGUCGUAACAAGGUAGCCGUAAGUCGUAACAAGGUAACCGUAGAGUUUGAUCAUGGCUCAGCCUUUGACUUAAAAAAAUGGAGAAGUCGUAACAAGGUAACCGUAAGUCGUAACAAGGUAGCCGUAAGUCGUAACAAGGUAACCGUAGAGUUUGAUCCUGGCUCAGCCUUUGACUUAAGAAAAUGGAGAAGUCGUAACAAGGUAGCCGAACGUCGUAACAAGGUAACCGUAGAGUUUGAUCAUGGCUCAGGAUAAGUCGUAACAAGGUAGCCGUAAGUCGUAACAAGGUACCGUAGAGUUUGAUCCUGGCUCAGGAUGUACGCUGGCGGCGUGCCUAAUACAUGCAAGUCGUAACAAGGUAACCGUAAGUCGUAACAAGGUAACAGUAGAGUUUGAUCCUGGCUCAGAUAAGUCGUAACAAGGUAACCGUAAGUCGUAACAAGGUAACCGUAGAGUUUGAUCCUGA
rnacentral:rRNA from 1 species